AGAUACCAUCGAGAGCCCAUUCAUAAUCUCAUCAUGAGGCAUUGACCCACGCAUUAGAAGAGGGGGAUACCUCUUCACGUCCUGAGGUGACUAGCAAUCCGCCACCACCUCUCAAUGUGGAGCCUCAACUUGAGGUGACUGUUGGUAAUACUAUUGCUGCUAAGCGUGCUCAUGGCCCGACUCGAGGCAAAGAGGUUCAAGGCCUUGUUGAUAAAGAUGGAAAGCUUAGCGUGCCUAUCCCUCCAGAAUUUCGUGCACCGGUAGGGGACUAUGCCUCAAAACUAGCCUCAAAGAUUGGUGUAGAAGUGCAAACUCGUUUACCAAAUCCAAGUGUUCGUAGGUGGAAGUAUGUUGAUGCCUCCGUUAAGGAGGCGAUGUUUCAAUGCUUGAAUGAUCAAUUUGAUUUACAAGGAGACCCUGUUGAUAUAGAGAAGGCAAUGAACACAAAAUUUGGUCGGAGAUUGAGUAACCAUACCUAUAGGCUGCACAAACAAUUCAUGGAGCUGAAGGAGGCUAAAGGGGAGGAGUAUGCAAGAAACCACCCACCAAAGAAUGUCGAUCCUACCAAGUGGAUAGA